GUAGCUAACGCAUUAAGUACCCCGCCUGGGGAGUACGGCCGCAAGGCUAAAACUCAAAGGAAUUGACGGGGCCCCGCACAAGCGGCGGAGCAUGCGGAUUAAUUCGAUGCAACGCGAAGAACCUUACCUGGGUUUGACAUAUAUCGGAAACGUUCAGAGAUGGGCGCCCCGUAAGGUCGGUAUACAGGUGGUGCAUGGCUGUCGUCAGCUCGUGUCGUGAGAUGUUGGGUUAAGUCCCGCAACGAGCGCAACCCUCGUCCAAUGUUGCCAGCGGGUUAUGCCGGGGACUCAUUGGAGACCGCCGGGGUCAACUCGGAGGAAGGUGGGGAUGACGUCAAGUCAUCAUGCCCCUUAUGUCCAGGGCUUCACGCAUGCUACAAUGGCCGGUACAAAGAGUUGCGAGCCUGUGAGGGUGAGCGAAUCUCAAAAAGCCGGUCUCAGUUCGGAUUGGGGUCUGCAACUCGACCCCAUGAAGUCGGAGUCGCUAGUAAUCGCAGAUCAGCAACGCUGCGGUGAAUACGUUCCCGGGGCUUGUACACACCGCCCGUCAAGUCAUGAAAGUCGGUAACACCCGAAGCCGGUGGCCUAACCCGUUUGGGGGGGAGCUGUCGAAGGUGGGACUGGUAAUUAGGACUAAGUCGUAACAAGGUAGCC
rnacentral:rRNA from 1 species